rnacentral:rRNA from 1 species
CAAGUCGAGCGGGGAGUAAGAUUUCGGUUUUACUUCUAGCGGCGAACGGUCGCGUAACACGUAAGCAACCUGCCCCGAAGACCGGGACAACAGCUCGAAAGGGCUGCUAAUACCGGAUGUGGCCAUUGGGGGACAUCCCCUGGUGAUUAAAUCGAGCAAUCGGCUUCGGGAGGGGCUUGCGGCCUAUCAGCUAGUUGGUGGGGUAACGGCCUACCAAGGCGACGACGGGUAGCUGGUCUGAGAGGACGGCCAGCCGGACUGGGACUGAGAUACGGCCCAGACUCCUACGGGGGGCAGCAAUUAGGAAUCUUGCGCAAUGGGCGAAAGCCUGACGCAGCGACGCCGCGUGGAGGAGGAAGUCCUUCGGGAUGUAAACUCCUUUUUCCGGGGAAGAAACAAAUGACGGUACCCGGUGAAUAAGCCCCGGCUAACUACGUGCCAGCAGCCGCGGUAAUACGUAGGGGGCGAGCGUUGUCCGAAGUUACUGGGCGUAAAGCGCGCGUAGGCGGGGGGUUAAGUGAGAGGUGAAAGGCUGGGGCUCAACCUCAUGCAGUGCCUCUCAUACUGGCCUUCUUGAGGGCGGUAGGGAGAAGUGGAAUGGCUGGUGUAGCGGUGAAAUGCGUAGAUAUCAGUCGGAACACCGGUGGCGAAGGCGGCUUCUUGGGCCGUUCCUGACGCUGAUGCGCGAAAGCUGGGGGAGCGAACGGGAUUAGAUACCCCGGUAGUCCCAGCCGUAAACGAUGGAUACUA